AUGGGGGCACAGAUCUUCAGUCAAUCCCAUGGGGAGACUGGUGGGCAGCAGGCCCCACGUGACAACACCGCUGCUGAGGGCGAGAUGUCAUCGAAGGAGGACUCUCCAGAGCCGGGCACCUCUGCUGCCAGCACCAGCCAGGAGCCACGGGAUGGCAGCGAGGAGAAUCCCGCCUGCCCGGCGUGCCGGGACAUCGACACCAAGUGCUCCAGCUUGUGCUGGCACUGCUUCUGCCGCUUCUGCCUGUGGGAUUGGAGCCUCAGCGACGCCGCGUGCCCCCAGUGCCAGCGGCCCAUCCGCCACACGUACCCCCAGCACGUGGCCCUGUAUCACGAGGUGCAGGACCAGGUGUACAACAGCAAGCAGAGGCAGCUCGGCCGCUCAGAGCAAGGCAUGUGGAGCUGCUCAGGACACAGUGGCAGCAGCCACGAUGAGCUCUCGGAGCAGGGCCGAAGGAGGUCCUUGAGGUGGCACCGUGACGGCCACCAGUGGUCUCGGCACGCCCAAGGCAGCAGCUCCUUGAGAAGGAGGAGGCGUCGGCGGAGAAGGAGGAGGCGUCAGUGGAGAGGGGAUCGGGACAAUGUGCCUGGCGAGGGACGAGCUCCAGGGUCUGAACAGGACACCUCAGACUCCUCAUGGGGGAGGCGAUCCCAGCGCGGGCCCCACAUGCCACAGAGCCAAGAUCAGCAGGGACAGGCACGGGGCCGCCGCAGCAGACAGAGGUGGCGGAGGAGGAACAGGGAGCGUUCCCACAGCUGGCACAGGCAAUGGAGCAGGUCCCGCAGGCAACGCCGGGACACCCAGACAUCGUCCUCAGGAACGGAGCCCCACGACGACUCCGCGAGGCAGAGGCGUUGGAGGAGCAGGAAUGCUGGUGAGACACGAGCUCCGAGGCACCAACAGCACAUCCCAGACUCCUAAGGGAGGAACCGGUACCCGUGCAGGACCCAGAGCCAUGCAGGGCACAGGACCCAAUAGCCCACCCUCCCACAAGGGGAAAGGCCACACUCAGUCCUGGUACAGGACAGCCCAGAGUGUCCAGCCAGCCUUCUGUGAUCUCCCAGCAUGGAGCCACCAGAUCCUCUCUGGGCAUCCCAUUCCGGGGUUUGACUCCCUCUGAAUAAACAAAUGUCACUUUAGCCA
rnacentral:lncRNA from 1 species